UCCACGCGUGCCGACAAAUGGGCUCCUGCGAAAUGAGCUCGUUCCGCUCCUCAUUCCAAAAACCGCCCCCAUGCUCAUCUCUUGUGCACGCCCCACCCUACCAAAAUCGUCGCCCUGGGGGCGCCCCCCACCCCGCUGCUACCAGCCUUGCCACCCCACUCCCCUGCCCUCCGCCUGCCCUCCGGCUUCCCCCCCCCCCCCCCCCUUGAGGGCACAGAUCGGGCCAACCCGCCCCCGCACCGGUAACGUGCUAGGACUGUGGCGAAGCCUGGAGCGGCAGCAGGGAUCUCGCAGCAGGAGGUGUCGUUGCUCGAGGAGGUGGUGGAGGGAGGGGGCUGCGGCGGGGAGGAACCAGGGACGUCAGCACCUUCACCGACCUUGGGAUUGGGCUUGAUGAGUGCCCCGCCCGCCUCCAUUCUCCAGCCCUAGCGUGUCAAGGUUCAGCGUCAGCUGCGGGUUCGGCGUCGAAGGGGGGUUCGGAGGUGCAAGGUUACUUAUUUCUCCCUUCACUGUUUUCUUGGUGGGAGGAUUUGCCAGUUAAUCUUUGGUAAAGUUGUAGGCGUGACGGCGAGAAUUAAGAAUCUUGACUUGACGAAUUGAAUGCUCAAGGCACUCCUUGUUUCGGGUACUUUGUUGUGUGUCUCGUUAUAGUCUUGGCUAUACUCAGCGUGAUUUCGGCGGUUGGAAUGGCUAUCUUGUUGUGGACUGGACUGGAGUUGCUUCAGUUCAGUCCUAACUCACGAGUAAUCUCAUUCAACGAUGGCUUCUCAUUGGUGUAAUGGCUAGGAGAAUGAUGUUUUAUUUGUACUGGUGUAUGCGACUUGGUUAGUAUCUGUUUACCGCUAAUAAGUUACAAAAGGGGUUACGAAUUACCUGAUGCAAAACCAGCAUUGUGCAUACAUAUUGGUCUUGGACUAUAUAGUGUACAGUCAUGACUCACGAAUGAACUAUUAAGCAGUUGCGAAGUAAUGUGGAACUAAUUCCCUAGAACAACAUGCUCUUAAAGUUGUUGAUUAUACGGAGCCGCGUCUUAACAUAUAAAAAAGAUUAUAGUUUGUUGGUACUGAGCAACAAACUAAUGUGGAACCAUCAGCCUCCUGAGCUAGGAGCAGAGAGUGAUAGAAUAUCCUCUGUUCUGCCGAGUUUCAUUGAUGUAUUCGCAUCUUUUUGCACCAAAACAGUAGAUGCAUACAAUAUGAAUUAUGCAUUAAAUUUCAGAGAGAAUAAAGUCAUUCACCAGCUACUACUAAUCUUCCCAAGUUCUAUGAGUUGAAUUUUGAAAGCUAUAGUCAAGUAGUCCUAGAUGAUAGAGGUCUUUGUAAAUGCUUUCUUGACACAAAAUUUACGGAGAACAGAAAAUUUCUUUAGCGAAUUUACAUAUUAUGCACUUGUUGUUUGUGCACUUAUGGUCCCAUCAUACCUUACUUAUCAUUAUUUGUUUGUAGUAUUAAUUGAUUAUGUUCAUUCUUGAUCAGAAAAUAGCAUGCAUUUGUUUUGCUUUUCUACUGCAGGAAUGCCUCUGAACAUGUUUGGCUUGGGCAUCGGUACUACUACUAAGAUUAUCAAUUAAUUUAUUGAUCUAUGUUACUUAGAGUUACUUGGUAUAAUCUGUCUUUCUUAAUAGAUGGUGGAUGUGGAGUUGGCCUUGGGUUAGGAUGGGGCUUCGGCAAUGCUUAUGGCUGUAAGUAUCGAUCUUCAAGAGUCCAGUUUCAGGGCAUUGCAUUUCAGAAGAAGGCUGAAGGCGAUGAGGCAACGAAACUUGUUUCACUAGGGAGGGGGCUGCAGCAGGGAGCCCCUUUACCUGUUGCCUGGGAACGCAAUGUAUUAUCAUGAUCUUCCUGAAAUCAAGGUCGUUAUGUUAGGAAACAAAUCAGAGAUCACAGCUUGGUAAUUAAUUAAUUAGUAAAGAGAGACUGACAGACAUAGAGCACAAAUCAGCAAAAAAGUAAAAGCUUAUGUAGGUUCUGCAUUAGUUGGUCUACGUGGAUACUUGUGGAUUAGACACAUUACUUAUCUAUGACUGUGAGUCUGUGAUCUUGCUUGGUUAGUUUUUGUUAAAGCACAACUCUAGAGUGCUCCUUACUUGCAAAAUUACACAAUGUAAUGGAAAAAGAUCUCACUAUGGUUUUGUUAUGUUGAUGAAUUUCAUUUGGUGAAAUAAACUGAUGGUGCUCUGAUAA